rnacentral:rRNA from 1 species
GGCGAACGCUGGCGGCGUGCCUUAGACAUGCAAGUCGAGCGGCAGGCAGUCCUUCGGGGCUGCCGAGAGCGGCGAACGGCGGAGUAACACGUGGGUAACCUGCCCCGAAGACCGGGACAACCCUGGGAAACUGGGGCUAAUACCGGAUGUGGAUACGCUGGCUUCGGCUGGCGUAUCUAAAGGGAGCAAUCCGCUUCGGGAUGGGCCCGCGGCCUAUCAGGUAGUUGGUGAGGUAACGGCUCACCAAGCCUGCGACGGGUAGCCGGUCUGAGAGGAUGGCCGGCCCGAGGGGCACUGAGACACGGGCCCCACUCCUACGGGAGGCAGCAUG